rnacentral:lncRNA from 1 species
UCAAGAUGCGUAGGGAUGAGAUCUCCACUUCGAUAGGCAGAACGACUUCCAUCCCGUAUACCAGAGAGAAAGGAGUUGCUCUCGUAGAUGUCCGUACAGAGGUGCGGUAUGCAUACAAAGCGAAUGGUAAAUUCGGUGAUUACAGUUAUAUCGUGGGUUGACCCCAUAAGUUAGAAUGGUCUUUCUAUCCUGGGUUAUAGGUAUCAGCGUAGGGGUCAUUUUGCCUUUGUGGUGGCCUAGGAAAGUUCCCCACAGCAUCUAAAUG